GGCAGAGCCUGGAUGGGAACCUGGGUUGUUCUGAAUCGCGGAUCUGUGCUUAACCGACAGAUGGAGACCCCUGCCCUCCUCCCCAGCUGAGAAUGGUCGGGACCCCACGGCAUGACAUGUCCCGAGUGACUGGGCCCCCGCUGGAUGUGGGGUGAGCUCAUCGGGCUGGAAGCUUCGGGCUGACGUCAUGACUGGGCACAGAAGCCUCUGCUUUCUCUGUAAUUACAGCUGGGCGGGGCCGGCUGAGUUGGAAACCAGUUGUGGGGAGAAUCACUGCGUGCCGCAUGACGCACCAGAGAAACCUGGCCCUGCCUGGGACCUGGGCAGGGGCUGGGGCCAUCCCCAAACCUCCAGAGGACCCCUCUGCCUAAAACGCAGCUCAGUUGGUACCAGGGAACCCAGAAGGAGGGGAAGCCUGGCGAAGGAGCAGGGAACUGAACCGUGA
rnacentral:lncRNA from 1 species